CUCCCGGCAUUCCCCGUGGGCGGUGCUCCCCUUUGACCCCUCGCUCGCGUGCUACACAUCCGGGCCUCUGCUACUAGUGAGGGGAAGAUGGCGGCCGCAACUGUGGUGGUUCCUGUAGAGUGGAUAAAGAACUGGGAGAAAUCAGGGAGAGGCGAAUUUUUGCAUUUAUGCCGGAUCCUCAGUGAAAAUAAAAGCCAUGAUAGUUCCACUUAUAGAGAUUUCCAGCAAGCUCUUUAUGAGUUAUCAUACCAUGUCAUUAAAGGAAAUCUAAAGCAUGAACAGGCAUUUAAUGUUCUUAGUGACAUUAGUGAAUUUCGUGAGGAUAUGCCCUCUAUUCUUGCUGACGUAUUCUGCAUAUUAGAUAUUGAGACAAAUUGUUUAGAAGAAAAAAGCAAGAGAGACUAUUUUACACAAUUGGUAUUAGCAUGUUUGUAUUUAGUUUCAGACACAGUUCUAAAGGAACGCUUGGAUCCAGAAACAUUGGAAUCAUUAGGGCUUAUCAAACAAUCACAGCAAUUCAAUCAAAAGUCAGUUAAAAUCAAGACAAAACUCUUUUAUAAACAGCAAAAAUUCAAUUUGUUAAGAGAAGAGAAUGAAGGUUAUGCCAAGCUGAUUGCUGAAUUGGGGCAAGAUUUAUCUGGAAAUAUUACUAGUGAUCUAAUCUUAGAAAAUAUCAAAUCUUUAAUAGGAUGCUUUAAUCUGGAUCCCAAUAGAGUUCUGGAUGUCAUUUUAGAAGUGUUUGAAUGCAGGCCAGAACACGAUGACUUCUUUAUAUCUUUAUUAGAAUCUUACAUGAGUAUGUGUGAACCGCAAACACUGUGUCAUAUUCUUGGGUUCAAAUUCAAGUUUUACCAGGAACCAAAUGGAGAGACUCCUUCAUCUUUAUACAGAGUUGCAGCAGUACUUCUACAAUUUAAUCUUAUUGAUUUAGAUGAUCUUUAUGUACAUCUUCUUCCAGCUGAUAGUUGCAUUAUGGAUGAACACAAACGAGAAAUUGUAGAAGCUAAGCAAAUUGUUAGAAAACUUACAAUGGUUGUAUUGUCUUCUGAUAAAAUUGAUGAGCGAGAGAAAGAAAAGGAAAAAGAAGAGGAGAAAGUGGAAAAGCCACCUGACAACCAAAAGCUUGGAUUGUUGGAAGCCUUGUUAAAGAUUGGUGAUUGGCAGCAUGCACAGAACAUUAUGGAUCAGAUGCCUCCAUACUAUGCAGCUUCACAUAAGCUAAUAGCCCUUGCUAUUUGCAAGCUUAUUCAUAUAACUAUUGAGCCUCUCUACCGACGAGUUGGCGUUCCUAAAGGUGCUAAAGGCUCACCUGUUAAUGCUUUGCAAAAUAAGAGAGCACCAAAACAAGCAGAGAGCUUUGAAGAUUUGAGGAGAGACGUCUUCAAUAUGUUCUGCUACCUUGGUCCCCACCUUUCUCAUGAUCCCAUUUUAUUUGCAAAAGUGGUGCGCAUAGGCAAGUCAUUUAUGAAGGAGUUUCAGUCUGAUGGAAGCAAGCAGGAAGAUAAAGAGAAAACGGAAGUUAUCCUUAGCUGUUUGCUUAGCAUUACUGACCAGGUAUUACUUCCAUCUCUUUCUUUGAUGGACUGCAAUGCUUGUAUGUCUGAGGAACUGUGGGGAAUGUUUAAGACAUUUCCAUAUCAGCAUAGAUAUCGUCUGUAUGGCCAGUGGAAGAACGAAACUUACAACAGUCACCCACUUUUAGUAAAAGUUAAAGCUCAAACAAUAGACAGAGCCAAAUAUAUCAUGAAGCGUCUAACCAAGGAAAAUGUGAAGCCUUCUGGAAGACAAAUUGGGAAGUUGAGCCACAGCAAUCCAACCAUUUUGUUUGAUUAUGUAUGUUUUGAGAUUUUGUCACAAAUACAGAAGUAUGAUAACUUAAUAACACCUGUAGUAGAUUCAUUGAAAUACCUCACUUCAUUGAAUUAUGAUGUCUUGGCCUAUUGUAUCAUUGAAGCUUUAGCUAAUCCAGAAAAGGAGAGAAUGAAACAUGAUGACACAACAAUCUCAAGCUGGCUUCAGAGUCUGGCUAGUUUCUGUGGUGCAGUUUUUCGUAAAUAUCCAAUUGAUCUUGCUGGUCUUCUUCAAUAUGUGGCUAAUCAGCUAAAGGCAGGCAAAAGUUUUGACCUGCUUAUAUUGAAAGAAGUGGUACAAAAAAUGGCAGGAAUAGAAAUUACGGAAGAAAUGACAAUGGAGCAGCUAGAGGCCAUGACUGGUGGAGAGCAACUAAAAGCUGAGGGUGGUUAUUUUGGCCAGAUAAGAAACACUAAAAAAUCUUCCCAGAGAUUAAAGGAUGCACUAUUAGACCAUGAUCUUGCUCUUCCUCUCUGUUUGCUUAUGGCUCAGCAGAGGAAUGGGGUAAUCUUUCAGGAAGGUGGAGAGAAACAUUUGAAACUUGUGGGAAAACUCUAUGAUCAGUGUCAUGAUACCCUGGUACAAUUUGGUGGGUUUUUAGCAUCUAAUCUAAGCACAGAAGAUUAUAUAAAGCGAGUGCCUUCAAUUGAUGUGCUCUGUAAUGAAUUUCACACACCCCAUGAUGCAGCAUUUUUCCUGUCUAGACCAAUGUAUGCACACCAUAUUUCGUCAAAGUAUGAUGAACUUAAAAAAUCAGAGAAGGGAAGUAAACAGCAACAUAAAGUUCAUAAGUACAUUACAUCAUGUGAAAUGGUGAUGGCUCCUGUCCAUGAAGCAGUGGUUUCCUUACAUGUUUCCAAGGUCUGGGAUGACAUCAGCCCUCAAUUCUAUGCUACAUUCUGGUCGUUGACAAUGUAUGACCUUGCAGUUCCACAUACCAGCUAUGAACGGGAAGUCAAUAAACUUAAAGUCCAGAUGAAAGCAAUUGAUGACAAUCAGGAAAUGCCUCCAAAUAAAAAGAAAAAAGAGAAGGAGCGAUGUACUGCCCUUCAGGACAAACUUCUUGAAGAAGAAAAGAAACAGAUGGAACAUGUACAGCGAGUUCUACAGAGACUGAAACUGGAAAAGGACAACUGGCUUUUAGCAAAAUCUACCAAAAAUGAGACCAUCACAAAAUUUCUACAGCUGUGUAUAUUUCCUCGAUGUAUUUUUUCAGCAAUUGAUGCUGUUUACUGUGCUCGUUUUGUUGAAUUGGUACAUCAACAGAAAACUCCAAAUUUUUCCACACUUCUUUGCUAUGAUCGAGUUUUCUCUGAUAUAAUUUACACAGUUGCAAGCUGUACUGAAAAUGAAGCUAGUCGAUAUGGGAGAUUCCUAUGCUGCAUGUUAGAGACUGUGACCAGGUGGCACAGUGAUAGAGCCACAUAUGAAAAGGAAUGUGGGAAUUAUCCAGGAUUUCUUACUAUAUUACGGGCAACUGGAUUUGAUGGUGGAAAUAAAGCUGAUCAGUUAGAUUAUGAAAAUUUUCGACAUGUUGUACAUAAAUGGCAUUACAAACUAACCAAGGCAUCGGUACAUUGCCUUGAAACAGGCGAAUAUACUCACAUCAGGAAUAUCUUGAUUGUGCUAACAAAAAUACUUCCUUGGUACCCAAAAGUUUUGAAUCUUGGUCAGGCUUUGGAAAGAAGAGUGCAUAAAAUCUGCCAAGAGGAAAAAGAGAAGAGGCCAGAUCUAUAUGCAUUGGCUAUGGGCUACUCUGGGCAGUUGAAAAGUAGAAAGUCAUACAUGAUACCUGAAAAUGAGUUUCAUCACAAAGACCCCCCUCCGAGGAAUGCAGUUGCCAGUGUACAAAAUGGGCCUGGUGGUGGGCCUUCUUCUUCAUCGAUAGGAAGUGCAUCUAAAUCAGACGAAAGCAGUACUGAGGAGACUGAUAAAUCAAGGGAGAGAUCUCAGUGUGGUGUGAAAGCUGUUAAUAAAGCUUCUAAUGCCACACCGAAAGGGAAUUCAAGCAAUGGAAAUAGUGGCUCUAACAGCAGCAAAACUGUUAAAGAAAAUGACAAAGAAAAAGGGAAAGAGAAAGAAAAAGAGAAAAAAGAAAAGACUCCAGCUACUACUCCAGAGGCCAGAGUACUUGGUAAAGAUGGUAAAGAAAAACCGAAGGAAGAACGACCAAAUAAAGAUGAAAAAGCAAGAGAAACGAAGGAAAGAACACCUAAGUCUGACAAAGAGAAAGAAAAAUUCAAGAAGGAAGAAAAGGCUAAAGAUGAGAAAUUCAAGACCACUGUACCCAACGUAGAAUCAAAGUCGACACAAGAAAAGGAAAGGGAGAAGGAACCAUCCAGAGAAAGAGAUAUAGCAAAGGAAAUGAAAUCAAAGGAAAAUGUUAAAGGAGGAGAGAAAACACCAGUUUCUGGGUCCUUGAAGUCACCUGUUCCCCGAUCAGAUAUUGCAGAGCCUGAAAGGGAACAGAAACGUCGUAAAAUUGAUACCCACCCUUCUCCAUCACAUUCCUCAACAGUAAAGGUUAGUAUAGCCUGAGGAAGGCAGCGUCCAUGUUAGGCUCACCUGUUUGGAAUACGUGUCCUGACUUCCUUCAAGUCUUGUGCCAAGUAUUCACUGGAGCCACUGGAGGUUUUAUAUUGCUUUAGAAAAUGAAAUUUUUACAUAUUGGUUGACUGAUAUUUUUUCCUAUUGAGUAUUUUUAUUAUAAAAAUAUUACAACUUCAAGGACCUAGCACUAAUUUUGUAGCAUUUCAAAGUGCAAGAGAAAUUUUACCCAGAAGUGCCUCACUGCUUUAAGCAGUCUUUUUUGGAGUGCAAUGGUAGCUACAAGCAAAUGAAUCUUUUCAGCAGAAUGAAGCCUAUUUUUCAGCAUAAAUAUUGAAGAAUAUAUAGCACUGAAGACUUCCUGGAUGAUACAGGAUAAACAAGAUACCUCUGAAUUCAUCAUGCUUCUUGAUGAGCAUCAUACCGAUGUGUGCCUUCUAAGAAGGAGUCUUGAAAGGAGUUCCAUUUUAAAGUCUCCUUGGUGAUCAGUUCUCCUGUAGUUGUGUAUAUUCAGUGAGCGUGCAGCUUCUGUUGUAUCUUCCCUUGGAGGUUUGUUUAUACCCAUUGGGUUCCCAACAAGUUGAACCUUGCGUUACGAUAAAAGCAGAUGUGGCAUCCAAUCCUACCACCCAGCAAAGAGAAACCCCAGGCAUUCAACUGCAGCACAAAAUCGUGGGUGUAGCCUUCUUGAAGACUCAGGGUAGCCAUUCCUUGCUCCAUAUUUAAUUUUAAUUCUAAAGUCAUCUAAUUUCAUGGAAUCUUUGAAUUUGCAGUACGUUGAACUUUUAAACCUGUAAGUUAACUAAUUCUUCGUUAAGAGCACUGUGGUGGAAUACUGUAAUUGAUUUCCUUUUCUUUCUUUUUUUUAAGUGCUUUUUUUUGUGGGAGGUAUGAGAUUCACCAUUAGAGGCACUUUGCAAAAAAGUAAUUACUCUUUUAUAGAAUACUUUCUGUUAUCUUGUUUAUGUAAUGCCACUGAGUUUUCUGGCUAGGUUAAAAUAUGUGUAUAUUUGUGUUAGAGUCACAAGUAAAGUAAAUUUGAAGCCUCCCUAUUAAAAAAAACUAUGAAAAUAUAUGACAAUGUUGUUCUUCCACAGUGAUCUCCACUAUUUUAAACUUUUUGUGGAGAAAAAAUGUUUUGCUUUCCUAAGCUUCUUAAUAUUACCUAACGCUUAAAUACAGUGUUAAUUUUUUUUAAAAUUCUAAUCAGAGAAUUUUUGUUACAUUGAGUACAUAUAAUUUUUUUAACAUUACAAUUCCAUUACAUAGUUUUGCUUUUGUUUUUUUAUUGUUGAUAUUCAUAUAAUAAUGACAUCAUGAGAUUUAUCCUCACAAGAAGUAGCUGGUUUAUUUCCAGGUUACAGCCAUACUUCCCAAAGUUCCUCUGGGUUCUGAGAACUAUGCCAGCUCACCUGUCAUCUCCAUUCAUUUUCUACAGGACAAUCUCAUCGAACUCAAGGAGUCUUCAGCAAAGCUCUACAUUAAUCAUACUCCUCCACCACUGUCCAAGAGUAAGGAGAGAGAAAUGGACAAGAAAGAUUUGGACAAGUCGAGGGAAAGAUCCAGAGAAAGAGAAAAAAAAGAUGAAAAGGACAGGAAGGAACGGAAAAGGGAUCACUCAAACAAUGACCGAGAAGUGCCACCGGACUUAACCAAGAGGCGGAAAGAGGAAAAUGGAACAAUGGGGGUUUCAAAACACAAAAGUGAAAGCCCAUGUGAGUCUCCAUAUCCAAAUGAGAAAGACAAGGAAAAAAAUAAGUCAAAAUCUUCAGGCAAAGAAAAAAGCGGCGACUCAUUUAAAUCUGAAAAAAUGGAUAAAAUCUCCUCCGGUGGCAAAAAGGGUAUGGACAGACCCCUAAGCUGAAAGUCUCCCAGAGGAGGAUGCCAAAGCUCCAUGCGUCACUCUCAGAACGAUAUCUCCCAUAAUUAAGAGCUUCUGGUGCUGUCCAUUUAAUGGAAAUCUGCUUUAAAUCAGAAGAUGAAUACACACCACCAUCCUCUUGACGAGACAUUCCAAAGUCACUGAUUUUCAGAACAUUACUUUCACCUCCAGGCAGUUUCUUGCAGCAAGGUCCCUGUGUAUACAAUUUUUACUCGAGAUUCGCCAUCCAGAAGCAGCAUCUAAUGAAAAUUUCACUGUUUUAGUUCAUCCUUCUUUCUCAGAAAGGAGAGGAAAACGCCUCCUGGAACCAGUACCUUAAUUAUGUAGAUAGGCUGUAUUUGUGUGCAAACUAUAAGUUUGACGAUAUUGGGAUGAUUAUAUUGUUUGAGGAUUUUGGCUUCUUGUAAAAAUUUUAAUUUCAGUUCCUGUGAAAGAUCAUCUUCACAUGUUUUAACAGCAAUAGCAGUUUUAUCCUUCAGUGUGCCCUUAAAUACGUCAUCAAAAUUUCCCUUGCCCAGUAAUUGUGACAUCUUCAUGAUUCUGAACCCAUUUUUUUAUUCUAGUUAUGGCCAUACUGAUAAUACCAUGAUACUCUUUAUUGGAACAUUGACUUUUUUGCAGUUAAAAAAUUGAGAUAAAAUCCAUGACAUAAAAUUUGCCAUUUUGAAGUGUUUUUUAGUAUAUUCACAAUGUUGUAACCAUCACCACUAAUUCCAGAACAUUUCCAUCAGCCUGGAAACAGACUCCACGCCUGUUAGCAGUCACUCCCAAUUCUCUUUCCCCCAGCCCCUGGAAACGACUAAUGUAUUUUCUGUCUCUAUGGAUUUGCCUGUUUGGGACAUUUCAUAAAAAUGGAAUCAUGCAAUACGUGGCCUUUUGUGUCUGGCUUCUUUCACUUACCAUCAUGUUUUCAAGGUUCAUCCAUGUAGCAUGUAUCCGAACUUCAUUUCUUUUUAUAACUGAAUAAGAUUCCAUUGUAUGAAUGUGUGUACCACAUUUUGUUUAUCCAUUCAUCAGUGAUGAACAGGAACAAUGAUUUCUAAGUAUUAAAAUUGUAAGUUCAACAUUAGUGUAUCUAUAAUUGGUAAUGUCAAGAGUGAACAGAAUGCUGUAUAGAAACGAUAUGUAAAUUAUUUGUCAGCAUUUCAUGCAAGUGUGAUUAUUUUCUAAGGCCCUUCUAGCUCUGGUUUUAUGAAAUAUGUGAAUGUAGUAUUUUCAUCAAUAAAGUUUAAUGCAUUGAGCAUUAGUUUAAAAUUUGAGAACAAUGUUAGGCAGAUAUGAAAUUAUUUGCCACAUGUUGUAAUGAUCAUGUUUUGAAUUUAUUUCAGUAUACAGUAUUUGAAAAAUGUCAAUACAUAAAGGAAAAGAAAUGAGUAUAAUUAAGUCAAUAUAUUUUUAAAGCAAUUUUUAUAAUUUAGCAGACAUUGCAUCUUAAUAUAAGUCAUUAUUAAAAUCGUGUCCUUGUGAAAAAUAUGAUGUCAUUUUUCUCUUUUUUGUUGAUCAUGUAAAAUUGGUUCCUUUUCAUUGCUGUGUAUUCUAUUUACUUUUGACAAGCUAUUGCUUGUCCUUGUGGAAUGUUUUACAUGUUUCUAUUUAAUUUCUCCCUCUCUCCCCUCCCCCCUACUCCCUACCUCACCCUCUCACAGACAGAAUGUUCAGUGGUUUUUUUUUUUCUUUAAGUCAUCAUAGCGUGCCUAUCUUUAUUGGUUUCUAAGAGUGGGCGAUAAGAAAAAUGCAAAUAUUUCACCCUUAUCUAGGGACUUAAUUCAAGCCUUUGUUAUUGAGAGAACACACUGAUUUUUUUCCUUCUUUCUUAAAUCUUCCUUCCUCUUUCCAAUUCCUUCUUUCUUCCCUCCUCCCUUUUCUCCUUCUUGCCUCCUCCCUCCCUUUCUUCCUCUUCCUUUCAUCUGUUCCUUCUUCCCCUUUCCAUCCAUCCCCUUUCCCUUCUCCCCUCCCCCACUUUCUUCUUUUCUUCCUUCCUUUCUUAUCUGUCAAUAAAAUCACUUUGUUUCUUUCAGGUGAGAUUGGAAUGAAAUUGUUCAGCUGUGACCAGAAAUUUAUUUUCCUGAGUAGAUUGCCGAGAAUUAUGAAUGAAGAGGGCCCAUUUGCAUCUCCUUAAAUUAUUCAGUUAUCUGCUUUAUUGCUCCAUGCCGAAAACUUAAAAUUGUUUUGUGCAUUACUGUAUUUAACUUGUUGCUUAGUUUCUACAUGUUUAUUUUCAGUAAAUGGCUGAAAGUGUUAAACUGUUCCAUAUUUUUAGCACAAUGUGCUGCAUACAGUUUCCAACAAGCAAAUAAGGUUACAUAUGUACAGAAUUUCACUUCAGGUUAACUAAAUAUUGCCUGGGUUUAGUUUUUUUGGGGGGGUUGUUUUUUUUUCAAUCUGAAAUGCUUUUUAUUGUUUGAAAUGGAAAAUAAACGAUUAUUGAACCAUUUUGAAUUUACCUCA